rnacentral:lncRNA from 1 species
GUCUGUAAACCUAUAAUGAUCACUCAUACCAGCUCCAGAAUAAACUAUCUCUUAUUCCCUUUAAGAUUAGAGCUGUGGUUUUUGCAUUGACAAUUAGGGAUCCCAAUCUGGGGUUCUGAGAAUGAUCUUUCUUUUGGAGGAAUCACAGGAAUGGAAGCCAGGUUCCAGCAAGGACCCAUUCUUGGAGUCCAGACAGCCUGAUGUUAAGUUCUCCACUGAUGUUGGAGAUAGAAAACCUAGGAAAGAGUUCAAGAGUCAGAGAUGCAAGCAUCCCCAACAGAAUACAAGAGAUUGAAGAGAUAAUCUCAGACUAGCCUACACAAGUGUCAGCUGAGCCAAACAGACUUCCUCCAGUGUCCCAGGUUUACUGUCCUACCUGAGUAUCUUCAUCCUUGGCAGAAACUUAGAAGCUCUGGAAUUUCCUGUCUGACUACAUUAUAGGAUUCAUCUGUCACAAGAAGGUGAGGAUGAACCAGACAUGGAUCACUGAGGUCAUUCUACUGGGAUUCCAGGUUGACCCCUCUCUGGAGAUGCUCCUGUUUGGGCUGUUUUUGCUGUUCUACUGCCUCACGUUGAUGGGAAAUGGGAUUAUCCUGGGGCUCAUCUGCCUGGAUGCUAGGCUGCACACGCCCAUGUACUUCUUCCUCUCACAUCUGGCCAUAGUUGACAUGUCCUACGCCUCCAGCACUGACUGCCCCUAAGAUGCUGACAAAUAUGGUGAUGCACCAAAAAAGCAUCUCCUUUGCUUCAUGCAUACUUCAGACAUUUUUGUAUCUGGCUUUUGCAGUGACAGAGUGUGUGAUUCUGGUAGUGAUGUCAUGUGAUCGCUUUGUAGUUAUCUGUCACCCUUUGAAAUAUACAUUGAUCAUGAGCUGGAGAGUGUUUGUCAUCCUGGCUGCCACUUGCUGGGUGUUUAGCUUCCUCUUGGCUUCACUCCAUACCAAGCUCAUUCUACGACUCCCAUUCUGUGGGCCACAAAAUGUCAACCAUUUUUUUUUCUGUCAAAUCAUGUCAGUAUUCAGAUUAGCCUGUGCAGACACAAGACUCAACUAAGUCAUUCUUUUUGCAGGCUCUGUGAUGGUCUUACUGGGGCCUCUGUGCUUGCUGUUAGUUUCCUAUACAUGAAUCCUGGUGGUCAUCCUGGGGAUCCACUCGAGGGAGGGCCGCAGAAACUACAUCUCUGUGUAGUUGGGCUCUUCUUUGGCUGUGCAAUCUCCAUGUACAUGGUCCCCUAGUCCAAACAUUCCCAAGAACAGAGAAAGAUCCUGUCUUUGUUUCACAGCCUUUUCAACCCUAUGCUCAACCCUCUGAUCUACAGUUUGAGGAACACAGAGGUAAAAGCUGCCUUAAGAAGUGUUCUUUGGAAACAGAGAUCACUGUGAGGUUGUUAAAGAAUCUUCCAUGUCAUGCUAGAUAGUUGUGGCACAUACCAUUAAUCCAAGUACUCAGGAGGCAGAGGCAAGGGAAUCUAUGAAUUUGAGGACAGCCUUGCCUACAGAGAGAGUUCAGACAGUCAAGGCUACUUAGUGAAACCUGAACAUCAAAAAGCAAACAAAGAAUCGUCCAUAUCAUGAUGCUGGCACACUGAAUUUUCCUGGGUCCUUUAAUUUAUCAA